rnacentral:rRNA from 1 species
UAUGUGAUCGUCUCUCGCAUAUCAAUAAGCGGAGGAAAAGAAACUAACAAGGAUUCCCCUAGUAACGGCGAGUGAAGCGGGAAGAGCUCAAAUUUGAAAUCUUAAAGGGUUUCCCUUUACGAAUUGUAGUUUAAAGAAGUGUUUUCUGUUGAGGUUUUGGUAAAAGUUCUUUGGAAUAGGACAUCAUAGAGGGUGAGAAUCCCGUAUUUGACCUAUUACUUUCAACUUUGUGAUACACUUUCAAAGAGUCGGAUUGUUUGGGAAUGCAGUCCAAAAUGGGUGGUAAAUUUCAUCUAAAGCUAAAUAUUGGCGAGAGACCGAUAGCGAACAAGUACCGUGAGGGAAAGAUGAAAAGAACUUUGAAAAGAGAGUUAAACAGUACGUGAAACUGUCAAAAGGGAAGCGUUUGACACCAGUGUUGUUUUUCUGAAAAUCAAUUAAAGAACUGUUUAUGCUAAGCUGUUUAGACUUUAUCAGCUAUCUGUUUAGUUUUAGGCUUUUCUUUAAUGCACUUUUCAGUUAACAAGUCAACAUCAAUUUCUUUUGCUGUAAAAAAGCUUGAGGAAGGUGGCUUGAGAUUCGUCUUAAGUGUUUAUAGCCUCUUGCCUAUGCAGUCGGAGAGAUUGAGGUCUGCAGCGUAGAUCCUUCGGGGCUAAAUGCAUUUGUGCUAAGUUAUAGCAUUUUAUAGACAACUUGUUGACUAUGAUUUGUCUUGCAGCUUACUCGCUUAUGUUAUUUUACCUACGCUUAGGAUGUUGAUCUACAGAGCGAGAGU